rnacentral:rRNA from 1 species
GUGCAGCAGGCGCGAAACCUUUGCAAUGCGCGAAAGCGCGACAGGGGAACUCCGAGUGCCAGCACUUCGGUGUUGGCUGUUGCGGAUCCUAAAAAGAUCCGCGAGGAAGGGCCGGGUAAGACGGGUGCCAGCCGCCGCGGUAAUACCCGCGGCCCGAGUGGUGGCCGCUAUUAUUGGGCCUAAAGGGUCCGUAGCCGGCCCGGCGCGUCCCGGGGGAAAUCCGGCCGCUCAACGGUCGGGCUUCUCCGGGAUACGGCCGGGCUUGGGACCGGGUGGGGGCAGGGGUACUCCGGGGGUAGCGGUGAAAUGCUGUGAUCCCCGGGGGACCACCCGCAGGGAAGCCGCCUGCCCAGAACGGGUCCGACGGUGAGGGACGAAAGCCAGGGGAGCAAACGGGAUUAGAUACCCCUGGAGUCC